UACGUAGGGCGCGAGCGUUGUCCGGAAUUAUUGGGCGUAAAGAGCUCGUAGGCGGCUUGUUGCGUCUGCUGUGAAAUCCCGGGGCUUAACCCCGGGCGUGCAGUGGAUACGGGCAGGCUGGAGGCAGGCAGGGGAGAAUGGAAUUCCCGGUGUAGCGGUGAAAUGCGCAGAUAUCGGGAGGAACACCGGUGGCGAAGGCGGUUCUCUGGGCCUGUUCUGACGCUGAGGAGCGAAAGCGUGGGGAGCGAACAGA
rnacentral:rRNA from 1 species